GCCCAUGGGCACGGGAGGAGAGCAGGUGAAUUUUACAGUGAAGGCUGCUGAGGUGGGAGGACCAUCUUCCUAUGUCUAUGGAUGGAAACCGGCAAGGAGCUGCAGAGGAUGCAUCCUGAAGGCGCAGUGUUGCUGGAGCCCCGUCCCCCCGUCACUGUUGAGCCCGCGACCUCUUCCUUUAUCUCAUGCUGCUGGUAUAGUCUCCUGGUUGAAGAGUCCCUGCAUGUAGAAAUCUCCAUUUAUUUGUACGUUUACUAAUUCUAAAGUAUUGACUGCUGAAUGCCAAGGAUUGCAAUUUCUGGCACAUUUUGUCCAGUCACAGCUAGGAAUUUAUACCUCUCACCAGGUCCCGUGUAGGCCAGGGGUCAUCGCCACCAAUCAUUCUGCAGUCCCAAUUACCCCACAAUAAGACCUUCAAGAUCUUGGAGUCAACCACAUUGGGAUUCUAGCCCAAACUGGGGAACAAAUUGUUAAAGAAUCCAGCAGUUUGUUAAAAGUACUGAUACCCAAUUGCAGAAGAAAAAAAAAACAAAAAACAACCUGCAUAAAUCGCCACAGCCACAGCCACAGAUUGUCUCCUUCGGGCAGAGUAACCUUUUCCUUUCUAAAUAAAAGUCUCCAUUAUUUGUCAGCA